AGUCUCAGUUCGGAUUGAAGGCUGAAAUUCGCCUUCAUGAAGCUGGAAUUGCUAGUAAUGGCAGGUCAGCAUACUGCCGUGAAUACGUUCCCGGGCCUUGUACACACCGCCCGUCACACCAUGAGAGUUGGGAUACCCGAAGCCUGUGAGCUAACUGUAAAGAGGCAGCAGUCGAAGGUAGAAUCAAUGAUUGGGGUGAAGUCGUAACAAGGUAGC
rnacentral:rRNA from 1 species